GUGAAUCAUCGAAUCUUUGAACGCAGAUUGCACUCUCUGGUAUUCCGGAGAGUAUGCCUGUUUGAGGGUAAUUAAAAAGAAUCUUUAACCAAUUUUUUGGUCAAAGGAAAUGAGCUCUCCGCGUUUGUCGCGGUAGCUUGAAAUAAAUGGUGAAGGCUCAUUUUAGUGGAGACGCGUAAUAAUAUUAUUUGGCGAAAACUUCAUCAGGUGACGAAC
rnacentral:misc_RNA from 1 species